GUGCACUCACAGACAGAAACGGGCAAUCGAGCAAUUAAACUUCAAGAAGCGCAACAAAACGUGUCUCUGCUGGCUGUGGAGUUUAGGCUCCUGCAGGCAGUGACACACGGCAGAACUGUCGAACCCGACGCUGCUGGAGCCUUCACCCUGAGAGGAGUGCAGUACCUACCCCUGCCGUACAGAGAAAGGCCAUUUUGGCAUGUUGCUAUGUUUAGCCUACGUACUAUAAUGAGCUACAACGUAGGCUACACAUCGCGGAGUGAUAUGUUGUUGCAGUUUGAUCCCCAUGCGUUAAUGGUGGAUUCAGUUCGCGGAAACUUUUAAAACAUUGCAAUUUAGAAGAGUAACAUGGAGUUUACUGUGACUUUGGAGACUGUAGACUGGAGUUGGAAACUGAGAAAGAAAGAUAUUGUUUCCUGGAUUUCCUAUCUUUUGGAUAUCACAUGAAUGCAGCACGGGUCUCCAACAUUAGGCCCCGCCCUUUGGAAUGCCAGAAGGCCUUACCCCGCCCCUCUGCAGGGAUACCAUUCAAAAACACACGCGGCUGGGAGGGGAGCACAGGCCGGCGGCAUGAGUGAAAAUCCACCUGUACUGUGACAGCAGAAAGCCUGCAGCUCGAUAAUAAAAAACAUAAACGAACAUAUCUGAGGUAUAUCUCUUAUAUGGCCCUGUCACAGAUUAUCUGACACACAGAUUUAAUGGUUUAAGGUCAGUAAAUUAUAACCUAUAGGUGAUAGGUGAUCAAAAACCCAAUAAAAACCAUGAUGUCUUAUUAUAAGCUUUGGAAACUUAAAAUUGCAUUGUGAUGCAUGUAUAAUAGCACAAGUGCUCUCCCCCUGUCCCUCCGUAAUGCCUGCCCAUGCAACCCUUAUAAAUUUGUAAAACUGUUUGUUUCAUUUUUGCAAAUUGUAGUAUGUUCAAUAGAAAAGCAAAUGGGACUUUCUGCCUCAUUCUCACCAGUGCAAAGAUCUUUGAAUAAAUCCUAUGACUCGUAG